rnacentral:rRNA from 1 species
UACGUAGGGUGCGAGCGUUAAUCGGAAUUACUGGGCGUAAAGCGUGCGCAGGCGGUUUUGUAAGACAGAUGUGAAAUCCCCGGGCUUAACCUGGGAACUGCGUUUGUGACUGCAAGACUAGAGUGUGGCAGAGGGGGGUAGAAUUCCACGUGUAGCAGUGAAAUGCGUAGAGAUGUGGAGGAAUACCGAUGGCGAAGGCAGCCCCCUGGGUCAACACUGACGCUCAUGCACGAAAGCGUGGGGAGCAAACAGG